CCUGGCCACGCGCACCUUCUCCCCCGCCGCCCGGCGCUGUUAUGGGGCCGAGGCGCACGCGCUCGGGGCACGCGCUGCCUGCCGUGGCGUGACGUCAGGCGGGCGCCGGGGAGCCGCGCCUCUGGCCCGGCGCUCAUGGAGGACGAGGACUGCCCCGACCUGGUCCCCAUCGAUGGCGGCGGCGGCGGCGAGGACACGGAGUCUGUCCCCAGCCGGAAGAUCCCGGUGACGAUCAUCACGGGAUAUCUGGGAGCUGGGAAAACAACUCUUCUGAAUUACAUACUGACAGAACAGCAUAAUAAAAGAAUAGCAGUUAUUCUGAAUGAGUUUGGAGAAGGAAGUGCCUUGGAGAAAUCCCUGGCGAUCAGUCAAGGGGGAGAACUCUAUGAAGAAUGGCUGGAGCUCAGAAACGGCUGCCUGUGUUGCUCAGUAAAGGACAAUGGUGUGAAGGCUAUUGAGAACCUGAUGCAAAGGAAAGGAAAAUUUGACUAUAUAUUGUUGGAAACAACUGGUUUGGCAGAUCCAGGAGCCGUGGCCUCCAUGUUCUGGAUUGAUUCUGAGCUGGGAAGUGACAUCUAUCUUGAUGGUAUUGUAUGUGUUGUUGACGCAAAGUAUGGAUUGCAGCACUUGACAGAGGAAAAGCCGGAAGGCCUUGUUAAUGAAGCAUCUCGGCAGGUUGCAUUAGCUGAUCUUAUAAUCGUCAAUAAGACAGAUUUGGUUUCAGGGGAAGAAUUGGAUAAAGUCAGAACAUCUGUCAGGUCAAUAAAUGGACUUGUUAAAAUUCUAGAGACACAAAGAUCAAGAGUUGAUCUCUCAUAUGUCUUGGACCUGCAUGCUUUUGACAGUUUAUCUGGAAUAAGUUUGCAGAAAAAGCUUGAGCAUGUAAAGACAACAUAUGCACAUCUAGAUAAGGGUAUAAUUACAGUAACGUUUGAAGUUCCAGGAAAUAUAAAAGAAGAAAACUUAAAUCUGUUUAUUCAGAAUCUUCUGUGGGAGAAGAAUGUGAAAGACAAGACUGGACGUGUGAUGGACAUCAUAAGACUGAAGGCAAAUGUCAUCAGGUGAUAGUCCAAGGUGUCCAUGAGCUCUAUGACCUAGAAGAGACUGCAGUAACCUGGAAAGAAGAUGAAAAGAGAAUUAAUAGACUGGUCCUAAUAGGCAGGAACUUGGAUAAGGAGAUUAUCAAAGAAGUAUUUGUAGCCACUGUGAGAGCAAACCAAGAAAACAGUUGACAUCAGUUGACAUCAAGCUUCAAAAACCAUCUGCUUAACCCUGCAAGUUUUUUAUGUCAGAAAAGAAUGAAUGACAUGCAGUGUAGUAGUUUCUCUUUCCUCUUGAAGUUUACACAACAGUUAAACCCUGAGGUCCUCCUGAAAAUCCUAGCUGACCAACUGUUUGAAGAUUAGCUUUUAUGGUUAAGCGUCAGACAAAGAAUUCUACCACUUUGGAUUUGGUUUAAGUUAUGUCAGUAACAUCAUUCUCAUGUGCAGAAAUGCAGAUAGGCAAAUAACUUGUCUAUGCUGUACAUGAAGUAUGACAACAGGAAUAUUGUAAACAUGUUUGAAAUCUAGUACUUUCUCCAGCUAACUCUCUUUUACUACUGGAAAUGAAGUAAGAAAUGGUUAUUGACAGUGAUGUAAUCACAGUGAAAAGUAUUUAGUAUUUUCUAUUAAACUGUCUUCCAUCUCUUUCCA